AUCCCAAGGCUGUUUUUGUGGGAUUCCACAUGGAGCAGCCUGGAAGCUUGGAACCCUGGCUUCCUUUUGUGGCCUGGGAGGCAGGUCACAGGGCCAUUGCCUCACAGGGAUCAUGAGGGCCUGGGCCCAGAGGCACUCACAUGCUACUCAUGGGGACUGCUCCUCUUAAAGGGUGGGCCCUCCUCACCCAGCUUCCUGCCUUGGCCCGAGGAGGAGGCUGGAAGAGGCUGGGCUGUGCCCUCCCCAAUCCACUGCUGCAGCAGGGUCAGAAAUCUUGGAUAGAGAAGACCUUUUGCAAGCGGGAAUGUAUCUUUGUAAUUCCCAGCACAAAAGACCCUAACAGGUGUUGCUGUGGCCAGCUAACCAACCAGCAUAUUCCCCCUCUGCCAAGUGCAACACCUAGCAAAAAUGAAGAGGAAAACAAACAGGUGGAGACUCAGCCUGAGAAAUGGUCUGUCGCCAAACACACCCAGAGCUACCCAACAGACUCCUAUGGGAUUCUUGAAUUCCAGGGGGGUGGCUACUCCAAUAAAGCCAUGGUAAGGGGGCCUUUGGUCAUGGUGCCACUGGGAGCACAGGUUUCAUCAGAGGCCAGUUUCCCAGGCCCCAGGCUGCAAAUAUCUGGGUCUUCUUCAUGGUUGUGGCUCAAUCUUCCCAGAUAUUUCAUUGCAAAACCAAGAGAUAUAUCUGUUCACAUAACUUCUCGCCAUGAUACUUGAAAACUGGACACCAUUAUAA